GAUUAAAUACCCUAAAGGCACCCAAUCUUAUCUGAUCUUGGAAGCUAAGCAGGGUCAGCUCUGGGUAAUACUUGGAUGGGGCACAGUUCGCAAAUACCUGGUGCUAUAGACU
rnacentral:rRNA from 1 species